GAUUAACGCUAGCGGGAUGCCUAAUACAUGCAAGUCGAACGAAGUAUUUAUACUUAGUGGCGAACGGGUGAGUAACACGUAUCCAACAUACCCAUAAGAGGGGGAUAACUAGUUGAAAAACUAGCUAAUACCCCAUAGCAUAUUUUUACAUAAGUAUUAAUAUUUAAAGUUGCGUUUGCAACACUUUUGGAUUGGGGUGCGACGUAUUAGAUUGUUGGUGAGGUAAUGGCUCACCAAGUCGAUGAUGCGUAGCUGUGCUGAGAGGCAGAACAGCCACAAUGGGACUGAGACACGGCCCAUACUUCUACGGAAGGCAGCAGUAGGGAAUUUUCCACAAUGGGCGAAAGCCUGAUGGAGCAAUCCCGCGUGAACGAUGAAGGUCCUACAAGAUUGUAAAGUUCUUCUAUUGGGGAAGAAAUGUAAGAAAAGGAAAUGUUUUUUAUUUGACGGUACCCUUUGAAUAAGUAUCGGCUAACUAUGUGCCAGCAGCCGCGGUAAUACAUAGGAUGCAAGCGUUAUCCGGAUUUACUGGGCGUAAAGCGAGCGCAGGCGGAUCUACAAGUCUGAUGUUAAAGACAACUGCUUAACGGUUGUUUGCAUUGGAAACUGUAAGUCUAGAGUAUAGUAGAGAGUUUUGGAACUCCAUGUGGAGCGGUGGAAUGCGUAGAUAUAUGGAAGAACACCAGAGGCGAAGGCGAAAACUUAGGCUAUAACUGACGCUUAGGCUCGAAAGUGUGGGGAGCAAAUAGG
rnacentral:rRNA from 1 species